CCUACGGGAGGCAGCAGUGGGGAAUAUUGGGCAAUGGAGGAAACUCUGACCCAGCGACGCCGCGUGCGGGAUGAAGGCCUUCGGGUUGUAAACCGCUUUCAGCAGGGAAGAAGCGAAAGUGACGGUACCUGCAGAAGAAGCACCGGCUAACUAUGUGCCAGCAGCCGCGGUAAUACAUAGGGUGCAAGCGUUGUCCGGAAUUAUUGGGCGUAAAGAGCUCGUAGGUGGUUCGUCACGUCGGAUGUGAAAAUCUGGGGCUUAACCCCAGACCUGCAUUCGAUACGGGCGAGCUUGAGUAUGGUAGGGGAGUCUGGAAUUCCUGGUGUAGCGGUGGAAUGCGCAGAUAUCAGGAGGAACACCAAUGGCGAAGGCAGGACUCUGGGCCAUUACUGACACUGAGGAGCGAAAGCGUGGGGAGCGAACAGGAUUAGAUACCCUGGUAGUCCACGCCGUAAACGGUGGGCACUAGUUGUGGGGACCUUCCACGGUCUCUGCGACGCAGCUAACGCAUUAAGUGCCCCGCCUGGGGAUACGAUCGCAAGNUUAAACUUAAGGAAUUGACGG
rnacentral:rRNA from 1 species